rnacentral:rRNA from 1 species
CCUACGGGCGGCAGCAGUGAGGAAUAUUGGUCAAUGGCCGGAAGGCUGAACCAGCCAAGCCGCGUGAAGGACGAAGGUGCUCAGCAUUGUAAACUCCUUUUGUCAAGGGAAAAAAUCAGGCUCGAGAGCCUGACCGAGGGUACUGGAAGAAAAAGCAUCGGCUAACUCCGUGCCAGCAGCCGCGGUAAUACGGGGGAUGCGAGAGUUAUCCGGAUUUAUUGGGCUAAAAGGGUGCGUAGGCGGGCUGUUAAGUCAGCGGGAAAAGCCCGGGGCUCAACCGCGGCGAGCAGUUGAAACUGGCUAUCUUGAGAUGUCGAGAGGUAUGCGGAAUGCACAGUGUAGCGGUGAAAUGC